AAGGGCACCACAAGAACGCGUGGAGCAUGUGGCUUAAUUUGACUCAACGCGGGAAAUCUUACCGGGUCCGGACACACUGAGGAUUGACAGGCAAUAUUAAUAUUUUCUGUUUACAGUAAUUUAUUAUGUUAAAUAUGCUAGUCCUUUCAUGAUUAUGUGAUAGGUGGUGCAUGGCCGUUCUUAGUUCGUGGAGUGAUCUGUCUGCUUAAUUGCGUUUCACUAAGGGCCUAUAAUUUACGUGUGUUGCGGCACUUUGACCCCUCAUUUUUUUUUAAUUAAAUUUUAUGAGCGCGCGUCUUAGUUUGUUUAGCUCACACAAUUAGGUCCUGAAAGCAACGAACGUGACCGCAACCUCUUGUUGCCUUUAUACCAAACAUGAGUUUAAUUCUCUUCGGAGGGUUUUCAUGAAAAAAGGCUUUUUAAACUAGAGGGACCGCUGUUACUUUCUUAAACCAGAGGAAGGUUGCGGCAAUAACAGGUCUGUGAUGCCCUUAGAUGUUCCGGGCUGCACACGUGCUACAAUGAUUAUUGCAGUGAGCAUCUCAUUUUUUACACACCGCAUACGCGAGUCUAUUUAUUCACUUUCGGGUGCUUUAAAUGUGAUCUCUGCGAGCGGUAAAGCCUGCUUCGAAAGUAAGUGGGUAAUCAAUUAGAAGUAAUGAUUUCCUUUUUUUUAGCACACAUAUAUACGGCGUUUAUACCCGGGCUGCACUUGUUGUAGCUUUUGUGCGUAUAGAUGUUUUUUCCGUAUGUGCGAUUGUCAAUUCAUGGUGGGGACAGACCAUUGUUAAUUGUUGGUCUCGGUCUUAACUAGGAAUGCCUCGUACGGGUCUUUGGUUCAACAAACCACCCGGAAUACGUCCCUGCCCUUUGUACACACCGCCCGUCGCUCUUACCGAUGGACUUCUCUGUGAGUUUGAGGGACUGGGAACGCAGAUUUUUAUCUGCGCACCUAUGGAAACUUAAACGAACAGUGUGGUCUAAAGGAAAGAGAAGUCGUAACAAGGCAUCGGUAGGU
rnacentral:rRNA from 2 species